rnacentral:tRNA from 1 species
UGUCUUGUAGUAUAACCCCAUUAUUACUGUAAACUGCAACUUUACCAAAGCCCAUAGUGCCAAGACAU